rnacentral:rRNA from 1 species
GAUUUCUGGUGUGGUGCGCCGAGCCCGUCUCUUAUGGGGAUGAGUGCUUGUUGCGUGCCUGCCAUACUUCGGAGGGUUUUCACAGUGGAAGCAAUUUCAUUGUGUGCCUUCGAUCAUUUACUUUGAAAAAAUUAGAGUGUUUAAAGCAGGCUGACGCUAUGAAUACAUUAGCAUGGAAUAAUAAGAUAGGACUUCGGUUCUAUUUUGUUGGUUUCUAGGACUGAAGUAAUGAUUGAUAGGGACAGUUGGGGGUGCUAGUAUUUAACGGCCAGAGGUGAAAUUCUUGGAUUCGUUAAAGACUAACUUAUGCGAAAGCAUU